GACGAACGCUGGCGGCGUGCUUAACACAUGCAAGUCGAACGGUGAAGCCCUUCGGGGUGGAUCAGUGGCGAACGGGUGAGUAACACGUGAGCAACCUGCCCCUGGCUCUGGGACAACCACUGGAAACGGUGGCUAAUACCGGAUACGACCCACCUCGGCAUCGAGUGUGGGUGGAAAGUUUUUCGGCUGGGGAUGGGCUCGCGGCCUAUCAGCUUGUUGGUGAGGUGAAGGCUCACCAAGGCGACGACGGGUAGCCGGCCUGAGAGGGCGACCGGCCACACUGGGACUGAGACACGGCCCAGACUCCUACGGGAGGCAGCAGUGGGGAAUAUUGCACAAUGGGCGAAAGCCUGAUGCAGCGACGCCGCGUGAGGGAUGACGGCCUUCGGGUUGUAAACCUCUUUCAGCUCCGAAGAAGCGAAAGUGACGGUAGGAGCAGAAGAAGCACCGGCUAACUACGUG
rnacentral:rRNA from 1 species